rnacentral:rRNA from 1 species
UACGGGGGGGGCAAGCGUUGUUCGGAAUUACUGGGCGUAAAGGGCGCGUAGGCGGCGUGACAAGUCAAUUGUGAAAUCUCCGGGCUUAACUCGGAACGGUCAAUUGAUACUGUUGUGCUAGAGUACAGAAGGGGCAAUCGGAAUUCUUGGUGUAGCGGUGAAAUGCGUAGAUAUCAAGAGGAACACCUGAGGUGAAGACGGGUUGCUGGGCUGAUACUGACGCUGAGGCGCGAAAGCGUGGGUAGCAAACAGG